rnacentral:rRNA from 1 species
UACAGAGGUCCCAAGCGUUGUUCGGAUUCACUGGGCGUAAAGGGUGCGUAGGCGGUGUGGUAAGUCGGAUGUGAAAGCUCGGAGCUCAACUCCGAAAUGGCAUUGGAAACUACCUUGCUCGAGGGUUGGAGGGGGGACUGGAAUGCUUGGUGUAGCAGUGAAAUGCGUAGAUAUCAAGCGGAACACCAGUGGCGAAGGCGAGUCCCUGGACACCUCCUGACACUGAGGCACGAAAGCUAGGGGAGCAAACAGG